UGGGUUGGAAGGGACCUUAAAGAUCAUCUCAUUCCCAUCCCUGUGCCUUGAGCAGGUACACCUCCUAGUAGACCAGAUCGCUCAAAGCCUUAUCCAACCCGGUCUUGAGCACUUCCAGGGAUAGGCCAGUCACAACUUCCCUGGGCAACCCAUUCCAGUGCCUCAUUACCCUCCCAGUAAAGAAUUACUUUCAAAUAUUAAAUCUAAAUCUCUCCUCUUUUAAUUUUAAAACGUUCUCUUUUUUUUUUUUUUUCAUAGGCCAUCUGUAAGUAUUGGAAGGUAUGGGGAAUGAAACAGGGAGUCCAGUGGAACUGAUAAAGGAGCCUGAUUGAGCAGAAACUGUGGGAGAGACAGACACAGGCUCAACAACCCUAGUGUCUCAGCCUGUCUUCACAGGAGAGAGGCUCCAGCCCUCUGGUCAUCUUCAUAGCCUCCUCUGGAUUUGCUCCAACAUAUCCAUGUCUUUCCUGUACUGGGGACCAGAGAGAUGGAUUUGGCAGCAAAAGGGCAGAAUUGCCUCCCCUGACCUGCUGCCCAGGAUGCUUUCUGGGCUGCAACUGUUCGCUCUUAGUUCACAUCCAGCUUUUCACCCAUAAGAACCCCCACUUCCUUCUCAGCAGGGCUGUUCUCAGGGAGUUUUCCAGUCCAUAUUCUCCAGUUCUUGUGUCUGGGAUUGUCCAGACCCACAGGCAGCACGGGGCACUUGGACUUGUUGAACUUCAUGGGGUUCUUGUGGGCCCAAGUUUGUCCAGGUCCCCAUAACUGGCUCCCUGUCCUUCAAGUGUGUCACCCGCACCACUCACCUUGCAAACUGCCUGCGGGUGCACUCACUCCCAGUGUCG